GGAAAUAGUGGCGAACGGGUGAUAACACUAGUAACCUACCCCUAAGUAGGGGAUAACUCGGAGAAAUCGGAGCUAAUACCGUAUGUGGUGUUGGGGGUAAUGCCUCAUCCUAAAGCCUUCGGGCGCUUGGGGAGGGGCUUGUGUCCGAUUAGCUAGUUGGUAGAGUAACGGUUUACCAAGGCGAUGAUCGGUAGCUGGUCUGAGAGGAUGAUCAGCCACACUGGGACUGAGACACGGCCAGACUCCUACGGGAGGCAGCAGCAAGGAAUAUUGUGCAAUGGGUGAAAGCACUGACACAGCGACGCCGCGUGGGGGAUGAAGACUUUCGGGUCGUAAACCCCUUUUCUCAGGGAGGAAUAAUGACAGUACCUGAGGAAUAAGCCAUGGCUAACUACGUGUCAGCAGCCGCGGUAAUACGUAGGUGGCGAGCGUUAUCCGGAUUUAUUGGGCGUAAAGAGGGCGCAGGCGGCUUUCCAAGUCGGAUGUAAAAUCUCCCAGCUUAACUGGGAGGGACCAUUCGAUACUGUUAAGCUAGAGGGCAGCAAGGGGAGGUAGAAUUCCCGGUGUAGUGGUGAAAUGCGUAGAUAUCGGGAGGAAUACCAGUGGCGAAGGCGGCCUCCUGGGCUGUUACUGACGCACAAGCCCGAAGGCGUGGGGAGCAAACAGGAUUAGAUACCCUGGUCGUCCCGCUGUAAAUGAUGGACCACUUAGGUAUUAGGGAGAUCAACCCCUCUUCUGUCUCGAAACUAA
rnacentral:rRNA from 1 species